rnacentral:rRNA from 1 species
UACGGGGGGGGCAAGCGUUGUUCGGAAUUACUGGGCGUAAAGGGCUCGUAGGUGGCCAACUAAGUCAGACGUGAAAUCCCUCGGCUUAACCGGGGAACUGCGUCUGAUACUGGAUGGCUUGAGUUUGGGAGAGGGACGCGGAAUUCCAGGUGUAGCGGUGAAAUGCGUAGAUAUCUGGAGGAACACCGGUGGCGAAGGCGACUCUUUGGUCUGUAACUGACGC